rnacentral:tRNA from 1 species
AGGGUAAUAGCUCGAUGGUAGAGCACAUACUUAGCAUGCAUGAGGUCCUGGGUUCAAUGCCCAGUACUCCCA